GGAUUCUGGUCAUACAGGAGUUUAUGGGCAUGAUGUAGUAGAUCUAGUAAAACACAAAGAGCAGAGACAAAUAAUAUUGUGGAUUUACAGGUGCAGUUGUUCAGAGGGUAAAUUAAAACAUUGAUUCGGAAAAAUGGGUUAGAUUGCUGACAGAAUGGGAUGAAAUUAGUAAGGUCAGACAUGUUUAUAGUACAAGGAAAUCUGUACGGUAGAUAGUGUCAUAUAAUGGGAACAGAAGGGAAGAGGUUAUGCUGUGUAGGAUGAUAUUAGGGCAUACGGGAUUGUAUUCCUCUUCAAAUUUGAUAGGGAAACAUGGUACUGGAAUGUGUAAUGGAUGCAUGCUAGAGGAAACGGUGAACAUUUAUUAUUAUUUUGUGAAACGUGUGAUGUAGAAAGGGAGAGGUUGUUUGAUAGGGUCAGAGAUGUUGGACGGGAAUGGGGAGUGGGUGGUAUUUUGGGUGUGGGUGAUGGGAGUAGUGAGGUUAGUUUAGAGAAUAUAUUGGUAUAGAUAGGGCGUGACUGGCCUCACACUCCAGUGCAGUAGGUAGCGGUGUAAGCACCUGUCAGUUGGUUGCCAUUCGCCAAUAUAACUUAAAGAAAUAGAGGAAGAAGGAGGAGGUAACGAUCGUCCCAGUGCAUUUCGAGAGAAACGAAAGUGGAAGGUAGUCAGCAGCAUCGCCAUAGACUUUGCUGCGUUCACUCUGAAAUGUCCGAGUUGCUAACUGGUUAUAGUUAUACACGAGCCCGCGGAAAUGUACGAGUUUCCUAGUUCUGAUUAGCACUUGAACGCGGCAUCAGUCUAUACGUGACGCUGACAACUUUUCACUUUCGGUUUUCUCCAAAUGCAUAGUACCACCAUACCUCAGUGGUGACGACCGUAUUUUCAACAAACCGACAACCCGAUAUAGGAUUUGGUUGGCAGAUCGCAUCCAACUUUUAUAGUUGUAUACACCGCCACCUACUGUACUGGUGUGUGAUGCCAUUCACGACUUAUCUACAUUCAAUUCUUGAUACGGUAAUACAACAUUGGGAAAAAGGAAAAUUGCCCUGCCAACUAAUAGCCCUCACAACAACAACAAAAAACACCACCCCUUCCACUAUUUAACCCGAUCUAAACUUCUAUUUUCUGUGACUUCUGAUCCAUUUCUGCAGUAUAAUUGACAACCAUGGCUAUGAAUGCUAAAAAGCCCACCUUACUGAAGCACAUAUUCUUCCCAUCACUCUCUUGGUCUCUGCCUACUCACAGGAAUCCUCUCAGUAUCCCUCACCCUGUAACCGUCUUCCUCUAUCACUCAAAUCAAAUUGUAUUGGUCGCAUACAUAUGUUAUUGCAGGUGUAACAAAAUGCUUGUGUUCCUAGCUCCAACAGUGCAGUAAUAUCUAACAAUACACACAAAUCUAAAAGUAAAAUAAUGGUAUUAACAAAUAUAGAAAUAUUAGGAUGAGCAAUGUCUGAGUCCAAAGUGUGUGUGUGUGUGUGUGUGUGUGUGUAUGUAUGUAUAUAUAUAUAUGUGUGUAUAUAUAUAUGUGUAUAUAUAUAUAUAUAUAUAUAUAUACACAAACAAAGGUAUGUGGACACCCCUUCAAAUGACUGGUUUUAGCUAUUUUAGCCACACCCAUUGCUGAUGUGUAUAAAAUUGAGGACACCACCAUGCAAUCUCCAUAGACAAACAUUGGCAGAAGAAUGGUCUUACUGAAGAGCUCAGUGACUUUCAACGUGGCACCGUCAUAGGAUGCCACCUUUCCAACAAGUCAGUUUGUCAAAUUUCUGCCUUGCUAGAGCUGCCCCGCUCAACUGUAAGUGCUGUUAUUGUGAAGUGGAAACAUCUAGGAGCAACAACGGCUCAGCCGCGAAGUGGUAGGCCACACAAGCUCACAGAACGGGACCGCCGAGUGCUGAUGCAUAUAGAGCGUAAAAAUUGUCUGUCCUCGUUGGCAACACUCACUACCGAGUUCCAAACUGCCUUUGGAAGCCACGUCAGCACAAUAACUGUUCGUCAGGAGCUUCAUGAAAUGGGUUUCCAUGGCCGAGCAGCUACACCCAAGCCUAAGAUCACCAUGUGCAAUGCCAAGCGUCAGCUGGAGUGGUGUAAAGCUCGACGACUUUGGACUCUGGAGCAGUGGAAACUCGUUCUCUUGAGUGAUGAAUCACGCUUCACCAUCUGGCAGUCCGACAGAUGAAUCUGGGUUUUGCGGAUACCAGGAGAACGCUACCUGCCCUAAGUGCUUAGCGCCAACUGUAAAGUUUGGUGGAGGAGGAAUAAUUGUCUGGGGCUGUUUUUCAUGGUUCGGACUAGGCCUCUUAUUUCCAGUGAAGGGAAAUCUUAAUGCCACAGCAUAAAAUUAUAUUUUAGACGAUUCUGUGCUUCCAACUUUGUGGAAACAGUUUGGGGAAGGUCCUUUCCUGUUUCAGUAUAACAAUGCCCACGUGCACAAAGCGAGGUCCAUACAGAAAUGGUUUGUCGAGAAUGGUGUGGAAUAAGUUGACUUCCCUGACCUCAACCACAUCGAACACCUUUGGGAUGAAUUGGAAGGCCGACUGCAAGCCAGGCCUAAUCGCCCAACAUCAGUGCCUGAUCCUCACUAAUGCUCGUGACUAAAUAGAAGCAAGUCCCCGCAGCAAUGCUCCAACAUCUAGUGGAAACCCUUCCCAGAAGAGAGGAGGCUGUUAUAGCAGCAAAGGGGGGACCAACUCCAUGUUAAUGCCCAUGAUUUUGGAAUGAGAUGUUUGACGAGCAGUAUAGUCAUGGAGGGAACAUCCGUGGAGGUUCUUGGCGUUCCCGACGAUAUCCUUGCCACUGUUAGAAUGGUCGACAAGCUCACAAUACACUUCCAACGACCAAGGAACGGGGGAGGAGAGGUGAAGAGAGUACAGUUUCCAGCCUACAGCCCAGGACAGGCCUUUGUCAUAUUUGAGGAACCAGAAGUGGCUGCUCGUGUUUUGCAGGAGACCCAUGUCUUAGAAGUGGAUGGACAACACUUUCCUCUUAAAAUCAGGAAAGCUGACAGGCCUGAGGUGGACAUGCCAGUCAAGGCCAAUCUGGAUGUGAGCAUGUUCUCCAUUGACAGCGAGAAGGCGCUCCAGCCUGUGAACGAGAUUCCCCAUGGUCAGCUACCCAUUCAGGGCUCCUUCCAACUGCAGCAGGUCUUACCCCAGGACACAAACACCCUGCGCCACAGCAGCCCUUCCCCAUCCAGUCUCAAUAGCCAUGCCUCUGGGGCCAUUUCCAAAUCCUCAAUCCGCUGCAACCCAUUUCCCAGCCGACAAGCAACGGGGUAUGUUGGGGACAACUUGACCCAUAUGAGGAACCCAUCCCCCAAGCCAGUGGAACCCAUCUCCCAGACCCAAUCUUGCAGUGAGGUCUUCUUCAUAACAGACGCAGAUGUGCUCAGUUAUGCCCUGUGCGUCAGGAAAAAGGACAUUGAUUCCAUUCUUGUAGGCCACACAACUCAAAUGGAUGUUAAGCCAGCUGACAGUUCAGACCUCCGCUAUGUUUUCCUUAAAGGGAAGAGUCCAGAGAGGGUUAUGGAAAAGCUGCAAGUUUUUCUCACCAAGCUUCAUUUAAGACUACGAACUCAAGAAAUCCCACUAUGGACACUCGAUCGCGACCGACAGGUUAGAAUUCAUGAACUGGUUCAGAAGUAUAAUAUAAUUUAUCCCACUGUCCUCGUCAAUCAGGUUGGAGAUCUCCUCCGCCUUGUAGGACCUUCCAAGGAAAGUUAUGAGAUGAAGCAGAGGCUCCUGGGAAAACCCAUACACCUGCUACCAGCUGGGCUAACAGGGAGGGUACUGGACAGGAGUGCCCAUAGUGCUCCUGGCCCAGUACCUGACCCUGUGUCUGCUACUGCACCAGAUUACUAGUAAAUUAACUACAUUUUGCAGUAGCUUGGUGGUAGUGGAGCUAAAUUCAAAUCUAGAUAGUGUUUGCAGUAGUUCAUUACUUGUUGUCAUGUAGCAGUGUAGCUAACUACUGGAACUACAUAUUACGUUUUAGCCAUGUAGUGGUGUAGCUAACUACUGGAACUACAUAUUACGUUUUAGCCAUGUAGCGGUGUAGCUAACUACUGGAACUACACACUACAUUUUAGCCACGUAGCGGGGUAGCUAACUACUGGAACUACACACUACAUUUUAGCCGUGUAGCGGUGUAGCUAACUACAGGAACUACACACUACAUUUUAGCUGUGUAGCUAACUACUGGAACUACACACUACAUUUUUGGCUAAAAUAAAAUGAGUGAAGUAGGCCAUCAUUUCCAUUUUUUGGCAUCAGACCAACCUGUUUCUCACUUGAAACAUAGUUUUUGUGUUUAGGCUAAAUUACACAUUCUGUUAAUAUAUGACCCCAAAGUGAUCUCUUGCAAUUUGUAGUCUGACAUUUCAGAUUUAGAUAUGAUACUUUUUCAAAAAGUAGUUUGGAUGUAGUGAACUACUUUUUCAAAAUAACUUUAAGUAAACAAUUUUUCUUAACUUCUUCCAGUGUGAGGUAAUUGGUAGCUUGCUAAACUAUCUUAUCUGAGUAGCUUUCCCAACACAGCAAAAUACCAGGGUGAGCCUGGCUCUCGUUCAUCCCAGGCAAAGCUAUUCUCUGUCCUGGCACCCAAAUGGUGGAACAAGCUUCCAGUUCUCCCUAAAAAUCAGGACAGCUGAGUCACAGCCCAUCUUCCGAAAACAUCUGAAAAGCCACCUCUUCAGUAUCUUUAACACCCUUGUUGACACCUACCACUACUCUUUUCUUACUCGCUUUGAUCAUUCAUUGAGGAAAAAUGUACUGACUAUGACUGUGUCAUGUGGUUGUCUCACCUAGCGAUCUUAAGAUAGAUGCACAAACUGUGCAGUGACUCUGGAUAAGAGCGUCUGCUGAAUGACAAAAAUGUCAUGUUUAAUGAACAUGGAAGGGUUGUACAAGGGGCUACAGUAGGCGCUGUGCCCUCUACACCCACUCCCAUUCACAGGGGAAGAAGUCACUCUGAUUCCCCGGCGAAAAUAAAAGAGCUUAGAGUUACACGGGAGGUCUUGAGGCAUGUAAGGUCAGAUGAUGUGGUGGUGCCCUCUGCUGGAACUCAAAUGCCAGUGGUGAAAAAGAAGUUCCAAAAUGUCCUACUAACAAUAGAAUGGAAGAAUGUGCUUUCAAUCAAGAAAAAGCCCUAGCAGGUUACUAGUUAGAUACAGACACCUGUAAUGAAAGUGGCUUGGCCUGUUUAUUUCUUGAAUGUCUUUAAUUUCAUAAUAUGAUGUGGGGUAAAAUGUUCAAUUCACAUGUAUACACAUUUUGUUUUGUAAGAUUUUUUUCUUCUUGGACAAAUUCAUUUCUGUAUUUUCUAAUAUUUUCUUUCUCAUGAUAUGAAUCUAUUCUAAAUGUGGUUUAUUUUUGUUUUGAGCGAUUGAGGGCAAUAAAAAUAUAUUAUAUUUGUGUUAAUUGAUCCUUUAAAUAUAUGCUGAUGCAAAGGCUGGUAACUAUACUCUAGGAGUGGACUUUGUUAAUCUACCGUAUCUGUUUUGAUUAUGUGGAGCAAUUAUUUAGAGAUGAUCUCAUCUUGUUUGUGUGGAAACUGUUCCUGAAAUGUGGUCACUUCAACUCCUCACACACACACACACACACACACACACACACACACACACACACACACACACACACACACACACACAAGACUAAAAUCAACACAUCAUGCUCUAGUUUGACAAUUUCUUUCGACUUGUCAUUGUCUCCACGUUUCUCGUCAGUCUGUUGCUAAUGGCAGUCUGUUGCUAAUGGCAGUCUGUUGCUAAUGGCAGUCUGGGUCCAUGCGUUUGCCUUAGUAUCUGCCUUAGUACUGUGCUUGUUCUUGUCAGACUGAUUCUGAGUGUUAACUUCUGGACCGGG
rnacentral:lncRNA from 1 species